rnacentral:ncRNA from 1 species
CGGGAGUGAUCCCGCCGGAAUGUGGCUUAAGACCUAAGCUGAACCCUUGA